CGUGACCCUGUUCUGCGACAGAGACGCCUCUGAAUGGUACCAGGAACCUUUCCUUUCCACUUUGAAGGAAACAACCUGGCAGCACCAAGUGAAAAAAUUGGGCGUGAUGAUGAAACGUUCCCUGGCAGCCACAGAUUCGAUUGCCACAGCAGCACUAGGUUUGUUUUCCUCCCAUACUCAUUACAUGUAAUAUCUGUCAUUCAGGGUCUGAUCACAUAAUAAGUCUUAAAGGAAAAUGUACUGCAAUUUUCCAUAAAUCAGUGACCUUAGACAUUCUGAUGAGGCUCCUUGGUUUGUAAAAGUAACAAUCUUCAAACAUAUUUGUCAGCAUAUCUACAUUUCUUAAUUAAAUGGUUUUCUUUAUAUUGUUUGGUAAGAUAUUCGAUUUAAUCUGUCAUAUUUCCAUUAACUGUAAGCAUAAAAUUAUUGUCAUUACUAGACUUAAAGACUUUAGUUAUGUGUUUCACUUUUGAACUGAUUUACUAAAAUAAAUUAACAUUUAAUAUGCAAUGCAUAAAAAUAUUUUUAACGUUGAAUGUUCCCUCAUAAUGGAAUCGAUUUUAGUUUAACCAGGUUUUGCAAGAUAUUUUGCAGGACUGCCCACUAGACCUUUUGCUUGCUGCACCAGUAACAGAGACCUGCGUUAAAGCCACCUCUCUGGUUUUGCAGUGCCUGCGUCAAACAGAUUUUAAGGUCAGUAAAAGCAGAUUGCUCGAAAACAGGCUAAGUUUCUGGGUAGAAUAAUUUCAGCAGGAACGACUGGCAUGUCCCCAUGGAACAAGCUUUUGUCUCUCCAACAACACAUGGCUUGGCUGCAGAGCUCUCCAUCCCUGAAUACAUUUUACAGUUCUUUGAGGAUAUUUCUGGAACAAAACUGACUGUUUUGUUUCAGAAAAAGGGGGAGGAAAAGGGCAUCACCCUUGUACACAACAGGCAGCUGGGAUACCUGCUGCCUGAUACAAAAACUGAACACAUAGUCAUGGGACAUUCACUGAGUUUCACCAUGACAGCGUUGAGGCAACAAACACUUUCCAAAGUCCUGAAAGCUCCAAACAUUUCAUUCACACACCAAGACAUAAAUAUGGCAGACUGUUUUUCAGAAGGAGAACCACACGUGUGUGCAGACCUGGUGGCAAAGACAGACAAGGUAACACCAGGACUUCAGCAGCUCCUCUGCUGGGACCAGAGGUGAGACAGUUCUUUACAGAUGGUUGUUGUUUCAGAAACAACACACAAGGGUUAAGAGCCUGGAAGAGGUGGUAAGAUGCCAAAAGGGGGCGCCACCUGAAGAGAAAAACGUGAAACAAAUGGGUGCUGGAGGGGCCCAGAUGGCAGGUUAAUUCUGCCUCCUGGGAAAAUAGGAGAGCUGCUCCAAGAAGCUCACAGGGUUGGAUAUGUUGGGACGAAGCAGAUGAUGCACAAUCUUAAAGAGUGGUGGCACCCCCAAAUGAUCCACAUGGUGAAACAUUUUGUUAAGAAUUGUUCGGUGUGCGGACAGUUCAACCCUAAGAAAACUUUGAACCCACAUCAGGGACAGUUUCCUCCAGUCACAUGUCCAGGGAAAGAAAUUGUGUUGGAUUUUACUGACAUGAUAAACCCGGUGCAAGACAAAAAUAUUUGCUGAUUUGUGUUGAUGCUUUCACAGGAUGGCCUGAAGCCUGGCCAGCAACAGCAGAAGAUAGUGAAAUCAUCAUAAAAUGUCUAAUCAAUCAUUACCUCCCAAGGCAAAGCAGAAUGAAUGAAUCAAAAUUUAAAACAAAAUUGGCUAAGGUUUGUGCACAAACAAAAUUAAAUUGGGUCGAUACAUUACACAGGAACCAACUUGUGGUUAGACUGAUUAACUGCAA